rnacentral:tRNA from 1 species
GCGCCCGUAGCUCAAAGGAUAGAGCAUCGGUCUUCGGAACCGAGGAUACGGGUUCGAUUCCUGUCGGGCGCA